CGCUUCCGAGCGUUUUUUUAUUGGCUUGGCAUCUUCUGGAUUUGGUGCCUUCGGGUACUAUUUUCCAGGAUUUACUUUGAGAAAACUAGAGUGUUUCAAACAGGCAUUCGCCUUGAAUACUACAGCAUGGAAUAAUGAAGUAGGACUUUGGUUCUAUUUUGUUGGUUAUUGAGCCAGAGUAAUGGUUAAUAGGAGCAGUUGGGGGCAUUCGUAUUUAACUGUCAGAGGUGAAAUUCUUAGAUUUGUUAAAGACGAACUCCUGCGAAAGCAUUUGCCAAGGAUGUUUUCAUUAAUCAAGACCGCAAGUUAGGGGAUCGAAGACGAUCAGAUACCGUCGUAGUCCUAACCAU
rnacentral:rRNA from 1 species